rnacentral:rRNA from 1 species
ACGGGGCCCGCACAAGCAGCGGAGCGUGUGGUUUAAUUCGAUGAUACACGAAGAACCUUACCCAGGCUUGACAUGCAGGUGGUAGGGAUCCGAAAGGUGACCGACCCUUCGGGGAGCCUGCACAGGUGCUGCAUGGCUGUCGUCAGCUCGUGUCGUGAGAUGUCCGGUUAAGUCCGGUAACGAGCGCAACCCUUGCUGUAUGUUACAUGUGUCAUACGGGACUGCCGGUAUCAAGCCGGAGGAAGGUGGGAUGACGUCAAGUCAGCAUGGCCUUUAUGUCUGGGGCUACACACACGCUACAAUGGCCAGUACAAUAGGUUGCAAAGCCGCGAGGUGGAGCCAAUCCUUAAAGCUGGUCUCAGUUCGGAUUGCAGGCUGCAACUCGCCUGCAUGAAGUCGGAGUUGCUAGUAACCGCGCGUCAGCUAUAGUGCGGUGAAUACGUUCCCGGGCCUU